CGUCUUAAACAUGCAAGUCGAACGAUCUGUAGCAAUACAGGGAGUGGCGGACGGGUGAGGAACACGUAGGAAUCUACCUUGAAGAGCGGGACAACUUGGAAACCGGGGGCUAAUACCGCAUAGUACAGAGAUGUUAAAGGGCUAGCAAUAGUCGCUUCGAGAUGAGCCUGCGGUCUAUCAGCUUGUUGGUGAGGUAAUGGCUCACCCAAGGCUACGACGGAUAGCCGGUCUGAGAGGAUGAUCGGCCACACUGGCACUGAGACACGGGCCAGACUCCUACGGGAGGCAGCAGUUAAGAAUCUUGCGCAAUGGGGGAAACCCUGACGCAGCGACGCCGCGUGAAGGAUGAAGGCUUCGGGUUGUAAACUUCGGUAGACUGGGAAGAAGAAAUACGUUCGUUGAGGGCGUAUAGUGACGGUACCAGUCUGAAGCCCCGGCUAAUUACGUG
rnacentral:rRNA from 1 species